UAAUUAUUGAAGUUGUCGAUACAUCCAGU
rnacentral:piRNA from 1 species